rnacentral:rRNA from 1 species
UGCAAGUCGAACGAAGUAGCAAUACUUAGUGGCAGACGGGUGAGUAACAUGUGGGUAUCUGCCCUUUGGCCUGGAAUAACACGAGGAAACUUGUGCUAAUACCGGAUAAGUCUUUACAGAGAAAGCUUUAUGCACCAUUGGAUGAGCCUGCACUUGAUUAGUUUGUUGGUGGGGUAAUGGCCUACCAAGACUGUGAUCAAUAGCUGAUUUGAGAGGAUGAUCAGCCACAUUGGGACUGAGACACGGCCCAAACUCCUACGGGAGGCAGCAGUGGGGAAUCUUGCACAAUGGAGGAAACUCUGAUGCAGCGAUGCCGCGUGAGUGAAGAAGGCCCUUGGGUUGUAAAGCUCUUUCGUCGGGGAAGAAAAUGACUGUACCCGAAUAAGAAGGUCCGGCUAACUUCGUGCCAGCAGCCGCGGUAAUACGAAGGGACCUAGCGUAGUUCGGAUUUACUGGGCUUAAAGAGUUCGUAGGUGGUUAGAAAAGUUAGUGGUGAAAUCCCAGAGCUUAACUCUGGAACUGCCAUAAAAACUUUUUAGCUAGAGUAUGAUAGAGGAAAGCAGAAUUUCUAGUGUAGAGGUGAAAUUCGUAGA